UCUAGAACCCGAGAUAUUGACUGAACACUGAACAGUGUUUGAGCUGCAAGACAGAAUUAGACUUCUUUUUUAAUGCUAAGAUUUGGACUCUAAAAUGGCCAAAUUGAGUCUUGGAUUCUUCAUGAAUGUUUUAGAUCUAUUUCUUAGCUUUCUAUC
rfam:Populus trichocarpa scaffold_19_contig_390, whole genome shotgun sequence.